rnacentral:rRNA from 1 species
UACGUAGGUGACAAGCGUUAUCCGGAAUUAUUGGGCGUAAAGCGCCCGCAGGCGGCUGUUCAAGUCUGACGUGAAAUCGCUCGGCUUAACUGGGCGGGGUCGUUGGAAACUGAAUAGCUUGAGGCAAGGAGAGGGGCGUGGAAUUCCCGGUGUAGUGGUGGAAUGCGUAGAUAUCGGGAGGAACACCAGUGGCGAAGGCGGUUGCCUGGAGCUUUGCUGACGCUGAUGCGCGAAAGCGUGGGGAGCAAACAGG